rnacentral:rRNA from 1 species
UACGUAGGGCGCAAGCGUUAUCCGGAAUUAUUGGGCGUAAAGAGCUCGUAGGCGGUUUGUCGCGUCUGCCGUGAAAGUCCGGGGCUCAACUCCGGAUCUGCGGUGGGUACGGGCAGACUAGAGUGAUGUAGGGAAGACUGGAAUUCCUGGUGUAGCGGUGAAAUGCGCAGAUAUCAGGAGGAACACCGAUGGCGAAGGCGGGUCUCUGGGCAGUAACUGACGCUGAGGAGCGAAAGCGUGGGGAGCGAUCCGG